UUUAAGCACAACCAUGAGUUUCCGUGUUUAACUUUAAUUGUCUAUCUUAUUUAGUUUUUUUAUAAUUAGUAUUGUUAUGAGAUGAUAAAACAUGAAUAAUACUUUAUGUAUGACUUAUGUUUUUAUAUUUUUUAAAGAAAUUUCAAAUAAGACAGAUGAUCAAAUAUUC
rfam:Oryza sativa (indica cultivar-group) chromosome 6, whole genome shotgun sequence.